UUUUUUUUUUUAAAAUACCAAACUUUGAUGUUGUUACUCUGAUCAGAAGUCAAAGGAUGCUGUGGUUAGGGGAUAUAUCUUUUUACUCCCCCCCUUCUUUUGGGCUCAAGCUAUCUACCAUCCUUCAACAUAAUGAUCAUACAUAAGAAAAGUCAUAUAGGGAAAUGAGAAUGAAUUGGUUACCUAGUUGGGGGAUACUGAAGUCUUUCUUCAGUCCUAUCUAAAUGGUGAACUGAACCUUUGUGAAGUUACCAUAUCUUUCGCUAGACUUGGUUUCAGAUCACCAUGUCUUAGAUACUCAUAAUAAAUUUGUUGUUAUUUCAUCUAUCAUCCUUACAGGUGUCAAACGAAUUCUACUUUACAUUAACUAGACAUCCUCAGUCCUUGAAUGAUGGAUUUGAGGAUUCGGAAGUCCCAUCCAUGGAAGAAGAGGUAUGGCAUGUCCUUGAACGUAUGGAUGUUGAGAGUUGUCGGACUUCAUCUGAAUACACUUUUCCAGUGACUGAAGCGAAUGGCGAUGCUUACUUGCAGGUUGAAUGAUAACUAGUGGGGGACUAUAAUUGAUACUCAAAAAGCAGGACAACAUUGCCAAGCAAAAGAGGAACUCGGGGACAUCAGUCUAGUCAGGAACUUAAACGGAUGUCUUAACUCACCAAACAUGUAUAGGCAUAGCGAAGUCCAAUUAUUUACUAUUUCUGAGAAAGUCUCACUGCACGAUGAGAUGAACCAAAGAUUAGAAGAUGCCACGUAAAAUGAUGUUGAGAAAUAAGAGCUCCUGCCAAGUGAAGUCUCACAAGGUCAUGGGACUAAACAUGUCACUGAUUCAUACUGAUGGAUGGUGACAGAAAUUUGUGACCUUCCACAUCUGCUGGUCAAGGGACUACACGCUUGCCAUUGCAUCGAGAAUUGACAGAGUUCUCAUGAUAAGGCUUCUUUAUGGUUGAAUUCUUUGGAGAAGUUUGCUUGUGAAACAUGCUUGGAAGCAAUUGGUAAGUCGGCAUCCUUCAUAAGAUAAUCCAUCAAUGUUUCAGAUUUAGACUGGUCAAUAAUCUGGGGUCGGAACUUGGGAGUUGAUUGAAAUCGGAUCUAGUUGCAUUUAUUAACAAUCUAUUUGAGACAAUUCCCUGUUGAACUGCUUAUGCUUACCAUAUUUCUAUCCUUUAAUGAUUGAAAAUGGAAAAGGUUAGAAUAGAGUAUUCUUGCAAGCAUUUCCAAGAAUUUUUCUGUUGAAACCCGGCUCACCCGGCCUUCAUUUUUAUUUCUCCUUAAUAAGUUUCCAAUCA